CUAGCGACUUCAGAGUUUGAUCCUGGCUCAGGAUAAACGCUGGCGGCGUGCAUAACACAUGCAAGUCGAACGAUGAAACUUAAAUGAUCUCUUCGGAGUGACUUUAAGUGGAUUAGUGGCGGACGGGUGAGUAACGCGUGAGUAACCUGCCUUGCACAAGGGGAUAGCCGUUGGAAACGACGAAUAAUACCCUAUGAUAUGAUAGUCUCGCAUGAAGCUAUCAUCAAAGAUUUAUCGGUGUAAGAUGGACUCGCGUCUGAUUAGCUAGUUGGUGGGGUAAAAGCUCACCAAGGCAACGAUCAGUAGCCGGCUUGAGAGAGUGUACGGCCACAUUGGGACUGAGACACGGCCCAG
rnacentral:rRNA from 1 species